AUGGAAUGCAAGUGGAAGUGACGUGUGGGGAAGUUUCAAGAGCCUGUGUGCAAUUUGCCAUUUUUUUUUUUUUUUUUUUUUUUUUUGCUGCCACCAAAAACUGCUGUCAGUUUGGGUUCCAGAGUGAGGUGGACAGAGCAGAGCACCUAGACCUCAGCAAUGGACGCGUAGAAUUUCAGAAUCCUAAGAAGCAAUUGCAUCUGAAUGAAAUAGUAAUGACAAAAUUUAUGAAGCGGAAAGAAGAGUAAUUCAUUCACCUGACAUGAGCUUAAUUUCUUAAAGGAGGGAAGGGAAAUUUCCAAGUUCUCUCCCCUAAUAGAAGAUGGCCUGAACUGCCAUGAAAUUUUUAGCCAUCAGAAGAGUGCCCACUUUAGCAAAUAAUGAACAUGAAUACCUAACAUUUUAGGAAUGCUUUUAGCUACAGGUAAUGAACAGAAAGCCUGACUAGAGUGGCUUUAAAAAAUUAAGGAGCAUUUUUCUCCCAUAAUGAGAAGUCCAGAGUUAGCAGUGCAUGGCUUAUUCAGCAGAUCAGUGAUGCCAAAGAGUCUGAGAUCUCCUUGACCUUGUUCUCACAAUUACAACAAAUCUGUUGCAGCUUCCACAAUUAUAUCCCCUUUCCAACAAGAUGACAGAGAAUGAAGCCGAUAGAAAAGGAAUUGCCAAUAUCUGAAAGUAAAAGUUUUAUGAGAAAGCUCCCAGAAAAUUUCUGUUUAUAUCUCUUUGGCCAUAGUUUUGUUCCAGAGUCACUCCUGGCAGAGAGAUGGCCAGAGAGAGGAAAGGCAAAGAAAAAAGCAAAGGCAGCUCAUGGCAUCCAGACAUUGGCCAGAUACUCAUACCCAGGCACUGAUGUUCAGAAGAUACUCAUACCCAGGCACUGAUGUUCAGAAGAUACUCAUACCCAGGCACUGAUGUUCAGAAGAUACUCAUACCCAGGCACUGAUGUUCAGAAGAGUGUUUUACUUUUGAUCUGAAAUGUCCCCCCAAAACCCAUGUGCUAAAGGCUUGGUCACCAGCCCAGGGUGCCUAUCAGGGCAGGAGAAACUUUGGGAAGUUGGGCUAAUUGGAAGCAAGUUAGAUCACUGGUGAAUGCCCUUGGAGGGGAUUUUGGCCCCUUUCUGUUUUUGCUUCCUGGCCUCCAUGAGGUGAGCAGCUCUUCCACCAGGUGCUCACACAGGCUCGAAGCAACAGAGCAAAGAAAACAGACUGGAACCUCUGAAACCAUGAGCCAAACAAACCUUUCCUCCUUUAAGUUGAUUUUCUCAGGUAUUUUGUCACAAAGACAGAAAAUUGACUAACACAAAGAGUUAACCCAGCUUUCACAAAUAGUCCUUGGCGAUCUCCGGUUCAACCGAAACAGGUUUCCAUUUUUUAGAGCUGAGUAAUAUUCCAUCGUGUAUAAAUGCCACAUUUUUUUUUAUCCAUUCAUCUGUUGAAGGGCAUCUGAGUUGGUUUCACAGUCUAGCUAUUGUGCUACUCCAAUCAUACUUCUGAAGUGGAUUAAACCUCACUGUCACAAUAAUAAUAAGUCAUAAAGGUACAGAUCUCAGGGUUGAGAAGGCUGAGGAGUGCAUUUGCUGUUUCUGAAUCCCUCAACUAAAUUGCAUAAUUUGACACACUAUCUAGAUAGCCACUAAAUAAAGCAAAGUUGUACAUUAUAGUCAUUCUUAGACUGCCUAAGAACUAAGCUUUUUAAAAAAUUCAUGGUUUCCCAUUUAUGAAGUAAGUAUGUAAGAUACAUAAAGAUAAAAACCAAAAAUAUUCAUUAUCUCUAGAGUAAAAGUUUUGUAAAAGUGAUCCUUCUUUGUUUUCAGUUUGAAUACCAGAGAUAAUCAAUUGAAAUAAAAAUAUGGAUAGUUAAAUUCAUUUGAAUAAGUGAUGAUAUUAUGUACAAAUUACAAUGUUCAGAGAACUUGGCUAUAUUUCCUUUUUUAAUAAACUAAAAGGUGGUUUUAAAAGCCAGCAAAUAUAAAAACAGAAUCUAAAUUCUAACUUGAGAAAGUAGAAGAAACACCUAUCUUCAUUGAAUGAAUACAGAGGUAUUUUGAAGAGCUCUGUAAGCAAACCACACAGACAUUUUAAAAGAAACCACAGGGAAAAGCAACUUGUUUCCUAAUGCUUGUUCAUUCUCAAGAAGUAAAGCCUUGCAAAUCAUCAAAAGGAUGUGCAAAGAAGUGCCAGUCUGAAAAAUAAAUUAAUAUUAAUACAGUAAAAAAAAGAAAGAAACAGGUUUCCAUAUCACCAAUAUUGGAGAACAUGAUGAAGAAAGAAGGAUGACAAACCCAAUUAAGCAUCUUGUUGAACAAAGAGACAUGGUUAUUGUGCCACCACAAAAAUACCAAACAUCUGAGCACCCUGGCUGAUUUGAGGAACUUGCUUUUCUUCCAACUUUGCCUUCUGUGUUGCUUUACUUCUGCCAUCUUAGAAAUGUUUAAACCAGAGCUAUCCCGAGUUCCUGAAAGUGUCCAAUCCAGAACAAAACCACUUCUUUAAAUUUUCCUUCUGAAUCAACUACAUCCAUGCUUUCAGACACCCUCUUGCUAAAACACUACACACCACCACAUAUGUGGUGUGUAGUCUCCUUUUUACUAAUUCCAGUAAUAAUUCGAACUCCUUCAACUCUCAGUAUGUUCCUGGUGAUCUAUGGCUGGUUGAUAGCACAUUGAGUGGACCAAAUAAGUAUUUGUCACCUUUUUUUUUUUUUCAUCCCAGUCCAUUUUUAACUAAAAUGAUGUGCUUUAAUAUGGCAUGCUUCAAACUCCUUAACAAGAAAAGGAAAUCAGGAUAGAGCAAACAGAGCAUAUGAUUAACAUUCAGAGGCUAAGGCUCUCGUCAGCUCUAUCCUAUUAAUAACACAAGUGACCCUGGGCAAGCCAUUAAAGGAAAGAAGAGAAACUGACCUCACAACAUCCAGUGAACCUGCCAGCAUUAAUAUGCUUGAGAGAUGACAAAACUAAAGCUCCAAACAAUUAAGUAUUUUAUUCUUCUAUUUACAUUUGUGAGCGGGAAAAUCAAGAUUCAAACCCAGGUAUGUAAGUCUAAAUUUGAAAACCUUUUCAUUUCACUGAGGUGCCUCAUGAAGUCUGAAUUCCUUCCCUAUGAACUGACUAGGUUGUUGCACUAGGACUUAAAAGGCCCUUUCCAUUCAUUAUGCAAGGAUUCUGAAUGAUGAAUGAUAACAUUUAUAUUUACUCUUUUUAGCACCACCUGAUCUGUAGAUGAAAGGUGCAAGAAUAAUGUGAGGUGAUAUAUGUUUAUGGAAUUUUGAAUUUCAGCAAGCCCUUUUCUAAACAGCAUAAAUCAUGGAUUUGAUCUACCACUUGAACUUCCAUGCGAAAUCAAUUUUCGGUUCCUUAUGAUUUAAAAAUAUGAGCACCUCACUUAAAGAAUUGUGUGAGAAGCUGUACAAAGAGGAGCUGGGAAAAGGGAAGACUCACCUUGAUUUUUAUCCAAGGAAGUAACCUCAUUUUCUAUACUUAAACCUUAACAUUUGCACAGUCACGUGGAACGUCUUCACCAGGAAGUGACAGACAAUACAGGAAAACAUGAUCAAUCACAUGAUUAAGAAAAAUAAAAGUUGUAUGUGUUUUAUCAAUUAAGUAAAUAGUCUUAAAGGAAAGGAUAGCAGUGUUGAGAAGCUGGAAAAACAGGCACUGAGUUACUAGAGGAUGGAAUGGCAUUUUGUAACUUUCCUUUUGGAUAGCAAUUUGCAAUUGGCAGCAAACACUUCUAAGAUUUUUGCAUAUCACAUUUGACCUACAAUUUCAUUCAAAAAACAAUUAUAGAUGUGUACAAAGAUUUUUGUCACAAAAAAUGUUUGUAGAAAUAUUAUUUAUAAUUGGCAAAAAUCAAUACAAAGCUAAAAGGUUUAUAAUAGAAGAUUAGUUAAAUUAUAGUUUAUUCAUGUAAUGGAAACUUGUGUGGGUAUUCAAAAUAAAAUUAUAUGUGCAAGUCAAAAUAAAUUUCUUGGUUGAAAAAAUGUAAAUUACAAAUACA